rnacentral:rRNA from 1 species
UAUGAACGCUAGCGGCAGGCUUAAUACAUGCAAGUCGAGGGACAGCACAGGUAGCAAUACUGGGUGGUAACCGGCAAACGGGUGCGGAACACGUACACAACCUUCCUUUAAGUGGGGGAUAGCCCAGAGAAAUUUGGAUUAAUACCCCGUAAUAUAGUUGAAUGGCAUCAUUUGAUUAUUAUAGCUACGGCGCUUAAUGAUGGGUGUGCGGCUGAUUAGAUAGUUGGCGGGGUACGGCCCACCAAGUCUACGAUCAGUAGCUGAUGUGAGAGCAUGAUCAGCCAAACGGGCACUGGGACACGGGCCCGACUCCUACGGGAGGCAGCAGUAAGGAAUAUUGGUCAAUGGACGCAAGUCUGAACCAGCCAUGCCGCGUGAAGGAUUAAGGUCCUCUGGAUUGUAAACUUCUUUUAUUUGGGACGAAAAAGGGCCUUUCUAGGUCAACUGACGGUACCAGAUGAAUAAGCACCGGCUAACUCCGUGCCAGCAGCCGCGGUAACAC